rnacentral:rRNA from 1 species
AGCGAACGCUGGCGGCAGGCCUAACACAUGCAAGUCGAACGAACUCUUCGGAGUUAGUGGCGGACGGGUGAGUAACACGUGGGAACGUGCCUUUUGGUUCGGAAUAACUCAGGGAAACUUUUGCUAAUACCGAAUGUGCCCUUCGGGGGAAAGAUUUAUCGCCAUUAGAGCGGCCCGCGUCUGAUUAGCUAGUUGGUGAGGUAACGGCUCACCAAGGCGACGAUCAGUAGCUGGUCUGAGAGGAUGACCAGCCACACUGGGACUGAGACACGGCCCAGACUCCUACGGGAGGCAGCAGUGGGGAAUCUUGCGCAAUGGGCGAAAGCCUGACGCAGCCAUGCCGCGUGAAUGAUGAAGGUCUUAGGAUUGUAAAAUUCUUUCACCGGGGACGAUAAUGACGGUACCCGGAGAAGAAGCCCCGGCUAACUUCGUG